rnacentral:rRNA from 2 species
CUGAACGCCUCUAAGUCAGAAUCCGUGCUAGAAACGAUGAUGUUGGUCCCGCACAUUUGACUUGAGUUGAAAUAGAGCUUUGCUCGUGAACCAAAUCUGGUGGAUUUGGCUGUCAUUGCGGAAAUGCUUUGGCAGCUUGUCUACGAAUUGUAAUCAUAAUAUGGGCGGGGGUGAAUCCUUUGCAGACGACUUGAAUGGGAACGGGGUACUGUAAGCGGUAGAGUAGCCUUGUUGCUACGAUCCGCUGAGGUUAAGCCCUUGUUCUAAAGAUUUGU